rfam:Hanseniaspora opuntiae strain AWRI3578 Hanseniaspora_opuntiae_AWRI3578_scaffold228, whole genome shotgun sequence.
GGAAGAUCUUGUAAGAGAUUAAUAAGAGCAUGUUAAAUACAACAGUACCUUUUGCAUAAUGGGCUAAUAAGUUAGUAAGUUAUUGAGCUAAUAAUCUACUAGACCCGAAAUAUUGUGAUCUAAUCUAUUACAAUUAUCAAAUGAAUGAACCCAAGUAUGUUGCAAUAUGCUGGGAUGAUAAUAGAUUUGUAGAGAAAGUUAAAUCUAACAAUGAGAUAGCUGGUUUCCAUCGAAAUAAAUAUUAGUUUAGCAAUCGAUAAAGUAUAAUGUGUAGAGAAUAUUCUUACUCUAAGAGUAGGAGUAUAACCUUCAAAGCAUUCGAUUAGUUAGUUUGGUUGCGAUAAGGUGAUUAAACAAGACGGUAAUAAACGAUACUCUUUGAUAAUGACUAAAAGUUAUAACUAAUAAGUAAAACAUCUUAUCAUGGCUCGUGGGUUUAGUAAUAAUCAACGGAUUAAUAAGUAAGUAACAAUUUUACCAUGAGAUUACUGUGGAUGGAAUUAUUAACUAGAUUAAGUUAUACUCAGAAUUAAGAGAUACUAUUUAGUAUGGUAGAUGGAAUUAAGAAUGUUAGCAUGAGUAACGAAAUAAAAGUAUAAUCUAAUAAGAAAGUUAACUGAGAUAAUACGGUAAUUAAUCAUCUAAAUAGGAUGAAAUAAUUAAUAUGAGACCAUUAUAAGUCAAUAAUCAUAUCAGUAACCGUGACACAGGUAACUCAACUUCUUUAGCCAGUAAGGCUUAGAUUAGCUAGUAAACUUUAAGAAAGGAAUUCGGCAAAUUAGUAGAACAACUGUUUGUCAAAAACACAGUUCAUUGCUAAAUUAAUUAUAGAUGGUAUAAUGAAUGAAUUCUGUCCAGUGAUUAUCUUCGGAUAGUUAAACGACGGUUUUAUCUUGAGAACUCUAAGGUAGCGAAAUACCUAGAUUUAUAAUUGAAAUCGUGCAUGAAUGGAGAAAUGAUUCUACAACUGUCUCUCUUAAAGGCUAGGUGAAAUUGGAAUAUAGGUGAAAAUACCUAAUAGGAUCUAUGGGACACGAAGACCCUAGCAGUUUUACUUAAAAUGAUUAAAUAUAUUACUAAUCAUGGAAAGUUUGAGUGGGGCGCUUUUUUCAUAAAUAAUAACUGAAAAGUUCAAAGUUUAGUUACUAGGAUAAAUCCUUAUACUAAAUUAAUUAUCUACCCAAUAAGGAGGUAAUUACUCACGUAAGAAUUAGUGAACAUUAAUAUAAUCUAUAUUAAGACAACAAUUAAAAAUUACGCUAGGGAUAACAGGGUAAUGCAAUUCUAGAGUAGUUAUCGAAAAUUGAUCUUACCACCUCGAUGUUGACUAAUCUUAGCUCAAUAGUUGAAUUAGCUAUUAAGAGUUCUACUGUUCGUAGAUUAAAAAGGUACUUGAGUUGAGUUCAAUACGGCGUGAGCCAGUAUGUCUGAUAUCUGUAGAUCCUAAGGUAGUAAGGAUAGAAGUAGUUUGUACGAAAGGAAUACUACUAAGUUAUCAAUGGUCCAGGCUAAAUAGCUAUAUAAUUAAGAACUGAUUAAAUAUGAAGUUGUUAAAUUUAAUCCAAAUCUACCAAUAAAUAUAGGUUUAACUACCUAUUAGCAUUAAUAGUAUAAUGGCAAUACAGUUACCUUGUAAGUAACAAUUGGGAGUUCGAUUCUCUCU